rnacentral:rRNA from 1 species
UUGCUCCCUGAAGUCAGCGGCGGACGGGUGAGUACACGUGGGCAACCUGCCUGUAAGACUGGGAUAACUUCGGGAAACCGGAGCUAAUACCGGAUAAUGCACAACCUCUCAUGAGGCUAUGCUGAAAGAUGGUUUCGGCUAUCACUUACAGAUGGGCCCGCGGCGCAUUAGCUAGUUGGUGAGGUAACGGCUCACCAAGGCAACGAUGCGUAGCCGACCUGAGAGGGUGAUCGGCCACACUGGGACUGAGACACGGCCCAGACUCCUACGGGAGGCAGCAGUAGGGAAUCUUCCGCAAUGGACGAAAGUCUGACGGAGCAACGCCGCGUGAGUGAUGAAGGUUUUCGGAUCGUAAAACUCUGUUGUCAGGGAAGAACAAGUGCCGGAGUAACUGCCGGCACCUUGACGGUACCUGACCAGAAAGCCACGGCUAACUACGUGCCAGCAGCCGCGGUAAUACGUAGGUGGCAAGCGUUGUCCGGAAUUAUUGGGCGUAAAGCGCGCGCAGGCGGUCUCUUAAGUCUGAUGUGAAAGCCCACGGCUCAACCGUGGAGGGUCAUUGGAAACUGGGGGACUUGAGUGCAGAAGAGGAAAGUGGAAUUCCACGUGUAG